rnacentral:rRNA from 1 species
GAUGAACGCUGGCGGCGUGCUUAACACAUGCAAGUCGAGCGGGAAGUUUUGAAAAGAUUCUUCGGAUGAAAUUUAAAAUGGAAAGCGGCGGACGGGUGAGUAACGCGUAGGCAACCUGCCCCAUACAAAGGGAUAGCAUUUGGAAACGAAUAUUAAUACCUUAUGAAACUUAACUAGUGCAUGCUAGGUAGGUCAAAGAUUUAUCGGUAUGGGAUGGGCCUGCGUCUGAUUAGCUAGUUGGUGAGGUAACGGCUCACCAAGGCGACGAUCAGUAGCCGACCUGAGAGGGUGAACGGCCACAUUGGAACUGAGACACGGUCCAAACUCCUACGGGAGGCAGCAGUGGGGAAUAUUGCACAAUGGGGGAAACCCUGAUGCAGCAACGCCGCGUGAACGAUGAAGGCCUUUGGGUCGUAAAGUUCUGUUCUAGGUGAUGAAAACUGACAGUAACCUAGGAGAAAGCCCCGGCUAACUCCGUG